GAUGAACGCUGGCGGCGUGCCUAAUACAUGCAAGUCGAGCGAACAGACGAGGAGCUUGCUCCUCUGACGUUAGCGGCGGACGGGUGAGUAACACGUGGAUAACCUACCUAUAAGACUGGGAUAACUUCGGGAAACCGGAGCUAAUACCGGAUAAUAUAUUGAACCGCAUGGUUCAAUAGUGAAAGACGGUUUUGCUGUCACUUAUAGAUGGAUCCGCGCCGCAUUAGCUAGUUGGUAAGGUAACGGCUUACCAAAGCAACGAUGCGUAGCCGACCUGAGAGGGUGAUCGGCCACACUGGAACUGAGACACGGUCCAGACUCCUACGGGAGGCAGCAGUAGGGAAUCUUCCGCAAUGGGCGAAAGCCUGACGGAGCAACGCCGCGUGAGUGAUGAAGGUCUUCGGAUCGUAAAACUCUGUUAUUAGGGAAGAACAAAUGUGUAAGUAACUAUGCACGCCUUGACGGUACCUAAUCAGAAAGCCACGGCUAACUACGUG
rnacentral:rRNA from 1 species